CAGCCAUGCCGCGUGUGUGAAGAAGGCCCUCGGGUUGUAAAGCACUUUCAGCGAGGAAGAACGCCUAUCGGUUAAUACCCGGUAGGAAAGACAUCACUCGCAGAAGAAGCACCGGCUAACUCCGUGCCAGCAGCCGCGGUAAUACGGAGGGUGCAAGCGUUAAUCGGAAUUACUGGGCGUAAAGCGCGCGUAGGUGGCUUGAUAAGCCGGUUGUGAAAGCCCCGGGCUCAACCUGGGAACGGCAUCCGGAACUGUCAGGCUAGAGUGCAGGAGAGGAAGGUAGAAUUCCCGGUGUAGCGGUGAAAUGCGUAGAGAUCGGGAGGAAUACCAGUGGCGAAGGCGGCCUUCUGGACUGACACUGACACUGAGGUGCGAAAGCGUGGGUAGCAAACAGGAUUAGAUACCCUGGUAGUCCACGCCGUAAACGAUGUCGACCAGCCGUUGGGUGCCUAGAGCACUUUGUGGCGAAGUUAACGCGAUAAGUCGACCGCCUGGG
rnacentral:rRNA from 2 species